CUGGCACAGCUGUCUCGGUGGACAUCUCAACUGUUUUGUGCAGUUGGUGCACAUUUAUUGAAAUUAUCUGACAAAGAAUAUAAAAUCUGCGGUGAGGUACAGAUGACAGAGCAGCGGUUUCGGUAAUUCAUCCGUAAUCCUCUGUUUGCAUCCCAAUGGGUCAAGGAGCUUUGAGGCGCUGUUAUACGUGAUUGUAUCUCCAUCAGGGUCACCUUGCACUUGCAUAAAAACAGGGUUUAAUUGUUCUCUUCCACCAGUCUCCCAUCAUCUUUCUUUUUGUUUUCUUCCAAGGGAUGUUGAGUGGAAGGCUGAUGAGAAUAAUCUACAUGCCAGAGAGAGAAAGAGAGAGAGACAAGAAAAGAAGGAAAGACGGCGCAGCAAAACUUUGAGAUGGGAGGUGAUGAUGCAAGUCAGAGGCAAGAUGCCUAAUACCCCCGGCUAACGAUCCAGCAACUGGAAUGCAAACCCUCGAGUCACUUAAACACAUGCAUCAAAGAAAGGAGUCAACAACAGUUAUGAUACCAGGAGAUGGCUUCAAAGCAGUGACGAAGGCGCUGGAUCCCGAUGCUAAACAAAGUGUGGUCUGACCUUCAACUACACUUCAAGCACAGGAGAAAUAAGGUCAAGCGGCAGCUCAACCCUACAUCAUUCACCAUGGAGAGAGACUUGAAACUCCAGCCUUCAAUGAGCAAAAAGCGACUCACAAUCUUCCACAAGAGAAGAAAAAAAGUAAACAGCACUGGGGGGAUUCUUGGAUUACGUAUGAACAGAUUGACGAUCCUCAGUUUCAUCGACAGAGAAAUAUCUGUCAGCUGCCCUCAAACACAACACCCUUUAAUCCCUUCACCCUCCUAAAAACAAAAAGAAUCAAGGAUGAAUAAAUAUUAGGAAAACAUUAGCUUUAUAAAUAAGGCUACAUAACUGAGCUUUAUGUGAGUGGAAAAGCUGAAACAGAGAUUGUUUGCAGAUCUGACCUCAUAAUUGAAACUUUGAGUAUCCAUCAACUCACACACUUUCCCCAAAAGAGCCUCUCUCCCUCAGUCACCCAACAUCUGAACAAUUACACGAUCACCUUUAUUUGCUUAUAGAUCCAUUUUCAUUGAUGAUGCUAACAUUCUCGCUGACGUCUCUCAGUGAAUCCUGUGUUCUAUGUUUACAUCCAGAGCCUAUGACACGGUUUGUACAGUAUUGUAAUAUAUUGGUUUAACUCAGUGACCUGCAUCCAGAUUAAUCACAUGCGCUGCCAGUGCAAAGUGUCUGCGGUCACUGCUUAAUGGUUUAGAAAAUAUCCAAAAACAUAAUCCUCCUCAUACUCAGCUUCAUCGGGC